AGAGUUUGAUCCUGGCUCAGAACGAACGCUGGCGGCAUGCCUAACACAUGCAAGUCGAACGAGGGCUUCGGCCCUAGUGGCGCACGGGUGAGUAACACGUGGGAACCUGCCUUUCGGUUCGGGAUAACGUCUGGAAACGGACGCUAACACCGGAUACGUCCUUCGGGAGAAAGUUUACGCCGAGAGAGGGGCCCGCGUCCGAUUAGGUAGUUGGUGGGGUAAUGGCCCACCAAGCCGACGAUCGGUAGCUGGUCUGAGAGGAUGAUCAGCCACACUGGGACUGAGACACGGCCCAGACUCCUACGGGAGGCAGCAGUGGGGAAUAUUGGACAAUGGGGGCAACCCUGAUCCAGCAAUGCCGCGUGAGUGAUGAAGGCCUUAGGGUUGUAAAGCUCUUUCGCACGCGACGAUGAUGACGGUAGCGUGAGAAGAAGCCCCGGCUAACUUCGUGCCAGCAGCCGCGGUAAUACGAAGGGGGCGAGCGUUGUUCGGAAUUACUGGGCGUAAAGGGCGCGUAGGCGGCCUGUUUAGUCAGAAGUGAAAGCCCCGGGCUUAACCUGGGAACGGCUUUUGAUACUGGCAGGCUUGAGUUCCGGAGAGGAUGGUGGAAUUCCCAGUGUAGAGGUGAAAUUCGUAGAUAUUCGGAAGAACACCGGUGGCGAAGGCGGCCAUCUGGACGGACACCUACGACGAGGCGCGAAAGCGUGGGGAGCAAACAGGAUUAGAUACCCUGCUAGUGCCCGCGGUAAACGAUUAAUCCUAAACGAUGGGGUGCAUGCACUUCGGUGUGGACAUUAACCCAGUAAGCAUUCCGCCUGGGGAGUACGGCCGCAAGGUUCAAACUCAAAUGAAUUGACGGGGGCACGCACAAGCGAUCGAGCAUGAGGUCUAAGUGGAAGCAACGUGCAGAACCAUACCAACCCAGGACACGCACGACACCGGCACCAGAGAGGGAGGGAACAGCUCCGGAGGGAGGAACACAGGCGCCCCAUGACGGUCGACAGCUGGUGUGGCGAGAGUCAGGGAUAAGUCGAGCAUGCAGCCCAAACCCUUCAGCCAGUUUCCAUCCUGCGGCGGGCCCGUCGCGGCCAACGCCCUCAUACAGUCGGAGAGGAGGAGGCGGUGGCUCCAAAUCUUCAUCAGCAUCAUGGUCAGCUCCCGAC
rnacentral:rRNA from 2 species